rnacentral:piRNA from 1 species
UGGCAAAGGACAGAGGUGUUUCGUGGC